AGAUUGAACGCUGGCGGCAUGCCUAACACAUGCAAGUCGAACGGGAGUAGCAAUACUCUAGUGGCGGACGGGUGAGGAAUACGUAGGAAUUUGCCCUUAAGUGGGGGAUAACCCGGGGAAACCCGGAUUAAUACCGCAUGACCUCGAAAGAGCAAAGUGGGGGAUCGCAAGACCUCACGCUUUUGGAGAAGCCUACGUCGGAUUAGCUAGUUGGUGAGGUAAUGGCUCACCAAGGCGACGAUCCGUAACUGGUCUGAGAGGAUGAUCAGUCACACCGGAACUGAGACACGGUCCGGACUCCUACGGGAGGCCAGCAGUGGGGAAUAGUUGGACAAUGGGCGCAAGCCUGAUCCAGCAAAUGCCGCGUGUGUGAAGAAGGCCUUACGGUUGUAAAGCAACGUUUAAGGUUAGGUAAGGAAAAAACUACGACUACGUAACUACAGUAGAGUACUUAGACGGUACCGAACUAAGAAUAAGACAACCGGCGUAACUCUGUGACC
rnacentral:rRNA from 1 species